UACGUAGGGAGCAAGCGUUGUCCGGAAUCAUUGGGCGUAAAGCGCGCGUAGGCGGCCUUGUAAGUCCGUUGUGAAAGUCAAAGGCUCAACCUUUGAAAGCCGAUGGAUACUGCAAGGCUGGAGUCCGGAAGAGGCGAGUGGAAUUCCUGGUGUAGCGGUGGAAUGCGCAGAUAUCAGGAGGAACACCAAUAGCGAAGGCAGCUCGCUGGGACGGUACUGACGCUAAGGCGCGAAAGCGUGGGGAUCAAACAGG
rnacentral:rRNA from 1 species